UGACCUCGGAUCAGGUAGGAAUACCCCGCUGAACUUAAGCAUAUCAUAAAGCGCGGAAGGAA
rnacentral:rRNA from 1 species